rnacentral:rRNA from 1 species
AUUGAACGCUGGCGUCAGGCCUAACACAUGCAAGUCGAACGAGUGGCGUACGGGUGAGUAAUGUCUGGGAAACUGCCUGAUGGAGGGGGAUAACUCCUGGAAACGGUAGCUAAUACCGCAUACCAUCGGAUGUGCCCCGAUGGGAUUGGCUAGUAGGUGGGGUAAAGGCUCACCUAGGCGACGAUCCCUAGCUGGUCUGAGAGGCUGACCAGCCAGACUGGAACUGAGACACGGGCCAGACUCCUACGGGAGGCAGCAGGGGGGAAUAGUGCACAAUGGGCGCAAGCCUGAUGCAGCCAUGCCGCGUGUAUGAAGAAGGUCUUCGGGUUGUAAAGUACUUUCAGCGGGGAGGCGUUACCCGCAGAAGAAGCACCGGCUAACGCCGUGCCAGCAGCCGCGGUAAUUC